GGCGCCACCAGAUCCACGCUUUCGCCUCCCUCGGCUACCGAGCCCUGGCUCCUGACCUCCGUGGUUACGGCGACAGCGACGCGCCGGCGGAUGUGGGCAGCUACACCUGUCUCCACGUGGUCGGCGACCUCAUCGGAGUUCUGGACGCCAUGGGCGCCAAUAAGGUGUUCGUGGUUGGACAUGAUUGGGGAGCCAUUAUCGCUUGGUACCUGUGUUUGUUUCGGCCGGACAGAGUGAAGGCUUUGGUGAAUAUGAGCGUCCCUUCCUUCCUAGUGUUCAAAUCGAUAAAUAAUAGUUUUUUCAUUCAUAUUUUCAUUCGUUCAUAUACAGAGUAUAUAUAGAGGUAUCGUCAUUCUAAGAAUGGGAAAGAAUGAUACAAGGAAAGAAUGACAUAAGCAAAUAACAAUUAAUAUCCUAAUAUCUCAAUAUUCAUAAUAUCUCAACUUUCCUAAUAUCUAAACAUUCCUAAUAUCUCAACACUAAAUGAUAUAAGGAAAUAAUGAUAUAAAGAAAGCAUUCCUAAUAUCUCAACACUCCCCCUCAACUUGGUGCAUAGAUGUCACACAUGCCCAACUUGUCUAAAAAUUUUGAGAACACUUGACUUGAGACAGCUUUGGUAAGGAUAUCGGCCAAUUGAUCUUCUGAUCGAAUCUUAGGCAAUUCCACAAUCUUAUCAUCCAACUUUUCCUUAAUGAAGAAUCUAUCACAUCGACAUGUUUUGUACGAUCAUAUUGUACUAGAUUAUAAGCAAUGUCACACGCGGCUUUAUUAUCACAAAACAAUCGGAUUAGUUGCCUAGAUAGGUAACCUAAAUCUUGUAAGAGGAGUCUUAGCCAUAAUGCCUCACAAAGUCCUAGAGUCAUACCUCUAAAUUCUGUUUCUGCACUUGAACGAGCGGCAACAUUUUGCUUCUUACUUUUCCAUGUUACAAGAUUACCACCUACAAAGGUAAAGUAACCAGAUGUAGAUCGCCUAUCAUCCACUACACCGGCCCAAUCAGCAUCAGUAUAUACUUCUAUACUUUCAUGAUCAACAUUGUUAGCGAACAAAAUUCCCUUCCCAGGAGCAUUCUUCAAAUACCUCAAAAUACACAUGACUGCAUUCAUAUGUUGCUCUCCAGGAUUAUGCAUGUAUUGACUCACUACACUCAAUGCAUAAGCAAGAUCUGGUCUUGUAUGAGUUAAGUACAUUAAUCUCCCCACAAGUCUCUGGUAUCUUCCCUUAUCGGUUGAUACUUCAUUAGGCUCAACACACAAUUUCAGACCUUCUUCUAUUAGUGUAUUAAUAGGUUGACAUCCCGACAUUCCAGUUUCCUGUAAAAGAUCUAAGACAUACUUUCUUUGAGACAGAAAAAUUCCUUCACUUAAUCGAGAAACUUCAAUCCCAAGAAAGCAUUUUAAAGGACCUAGAUCUUUCAUUUCGAAUUCUCUAGAUAGAUAAUUUUGCAGAACUUUUCUUUCUUCAUGAUCAUUUCCUAUAACUACCAUGUCAUCCACAUAUACGAUGAGUGCGGUAAUCUUACCAUGUUGCUUUUUCAGGAACAAAGUGUGAUCUGAAUUACUUUGAUGAUAUCCAAAAGCUCUCAUUGACUUUGUGAACCUUCCAAAUCAUGCUCUCGGGGAUUGCUUCAACCCAUACAAUGACUUCUUCAAUUUGCACACCUUCUGACAUUGCUUUUCUGACACCAUGCAUCAUGGUGGAAGAUCCAUAUAUACUUCUUCAGAUAACUCGCCAUGCAGAAAGGCAUUUUUCGCAUCAAAUUGUUGUAAUGGCCAAUCUAGGUUUGCAGCUAAAGACAGUAAUACUCGAACUGUGUUGAUCUUAGCUACAGGUGCAAAUGUCUCUGUGUAGUCAAUUCCAUAAGUUUGAGUGUACCCUUUUGCUACCAGUCUUGCUUUAAAUCGUUCAAUACUACCAUCUGCCUUGUACUUCACAAUAUAGAUCCAACGACACCCAACUGGCUUCUUUCCUGGUGGACAUUCUACGAGUUCCCAUGUUUCAUUCUUCUGCAAUGAUUUCAUCUCUUCAUUCAUGGCUACUUUCCACCUUGGAUCAGCUAAGGCUUCCUGCACACUGUUAGGAAUAGCUACAAUAGAUAAUUGAUUUAUAAAUGACUUGUUUGAUUCAGACAAACGAUAGUUAGACACAUAGUUGCUCAUGAGAUAUUUGACUUUGGUAGACAAUUCAGGUUCAUAUGUGGGUUUAGGAAUACCUCUAUUAUGACGGUGUGAUAACCGUUUUAUGAAUGGAUCAGGUUCCAAAUUAAGAACACCCUCAACAGACGACGAUUGGUUUGGUAUUUCAGUGAAGACAUCUUCGGACCCAAAUUGUUGACCACUCAUAUCCAACUCACCCACUUCCUGGUUCACUAGUUCAGAUUGUCCAAAUUCAUCUUCCUCAGAUAUAUGAUAAUUAUAAUCGAGAGUCUGAAUUUCCUUAUGGUACUCUCCCUGAAGUUCAGACUCAGAUGAAAAAUACAUCGAAUCUUCAUGAAACACCACAUCCAUUGUAAUAUACACUUUUCGAGUUGGAGGAUGGUAACAUCAAUAUCCCUUUUUGUGCAAUGCAUAUCCAACAAAUACACAUUGUAAUGCAUGAGAAGUUAACUUGGUGCAUUGGUGCUUGUGUAAAUGCACAAAUGCCACGUAACUAAAAACACGAGGAGGUAGAUUUGGGACAGUUGGGGCAACUACGACAUUAGUAAGAGCUUGGAGUGGUGUUUGAAAGUUAAUUGAGCUAGAAGGUACCCGAUUGAUCAAGUAUGCGGAAGAUGUGAUUGCUUCUCCCCAAUAAGAUAUCGGUGUUUUUGCUGCUAUCAAGGAAGCACAAACAACCUCUAACAAGUGCCGAUUUUUUCAUUCAACGACUCCAUUUUGCUAGGGUGUAUUGGAACAAGUAGUUUGAUGAAUGAUGUCAUGUCCUUCCAAAUACUUUUGAAGAUCAGAACUUUGAUAUUCUCCACCAUUAUCACUACGCAGAACCCGAACCUUUGCAUUGUACUGAGUUUCAAUCACUUUAUGAAAAUUUUGAAACAACAAGUUCACUUCAUCUUUGGUCUUCAUCAAGCAUAACCAUGUCAUUCUGGUACAAUCAUCAAUAAAAGUAACAAACCAACAUGAGCCACUCAAAGUUGGGACUUUGGAUGGGCCCCAAACAUCAGAAUGUAUAACCAUAAAAGGAAACAGACUUUUAUUUAAAAUUAACAUAAACGAAGCACGAUGACUUUUAGCCAAUUCACAAAUAUCACAACGGAAACCAGAAAUAUCACUCUUUGCAAACAAACUAGGAAACAAUUUUUUUAAAUAACCAAUGGAAGCAUGUCCCAAAUGUCGAUGCCACAACCAAAUUUCAGAUUUUUUCUUCUCUCCCUCAGAUUCAUAUGUCAUCCAGAUUCAUAUGCCAUCAAGGCUUGUUGCAACUUAUUUGAAUCCUUUGACUGCAAGUCCAAGUAAUAGAGUUUUCCCCGCUUAAUACCACAACCAAUCGUUUGUCUUGUUUGGAUGUCCUUAAUCACACAAAAUUCAGGCAAAAAAAUGACAAUACAAGAUAAGGCUGCAGUAAUUUGAGAAACUGACAAAAGAUUGUAAUCUAAAGAUGAAACAACUAAAACAGAAUCCAAAUUCAAAGUAUCAAUAAGAGUUAAGGAUCCUUCCCCAAUGACUGGGGUUGUGUUACCAUUGGCUGUGGAAAUAAUUUUUUGUGAGGAAGGUCUAAAGGUUGAAACCUGUCUAGAAUCAAAAGUCAUAUGAUCUGUAGCACCAGAAUCAAUUAUCCAUGCACUAUUAAUAACAGGUGUAAAAGUAUUUAAAAACUUACCACCAUGAUCUGUAGCGGCUACCAAUGCAGAGGCUUUCUCAGCAACAUUAGUCUCUGUUUUUAUUUCGGCAAUAGUUGCAGUUGAGGUUUUCUUGGAAUCCUUCUUCCGUUGAUCACGAUUAUUAUCAUUAAUAAUAAAGUGUUGAUAACCUAAACAUGAUUUAAAGGUCCAUAGUUCAAACCUCGGUUCCUCAUUUUUUUCCUGAUCAUACCAAGAGUCGUUGCUUUGAAAUUGUGGGAUAUCCAGACUGGUGGGAUCAGUCUUAUUGCAGUGAGUGCAUGUCUUAAGAUGGUUGAUCGCUGUCGGACUACCAUAGCGACAAAAUAUCCAGGAUUUUAGUUUCAUGGCUCUGAUACCAUGUUCAAAUUGAUAAAUAAUAGUUUUUUCAUUCAUAUUUUCAUUCGUUCAUGUACAGAGUAUAUAUAGAAGGUAUCACCAUUUUAAGAAUGGGAAAGAAUGAUACAAGGAAAGAAUGACAUAAGGAAAUAACAAUUAAUAUUCUAAUAUCUCAACUUUCCUAAUAUCUCAACUUUCCUAAUAUCUAAACAUUCCUAAUAUCUCAACACUAAAUGAUAUAAGAAAAUAAUGAUAUAAGGAAAGCAUUCCUAAUAUCUCAACACCUAGAAACCCCUUGCAAAAGCCAAUCCAGAUCUUUCGUGCUCUCAAUGGAGAUGACUUCUACAUUUGCAGAUUUCAGGUUUGUGUUUUCCCGAUAUUCCAUGUUCAGAUGUUAUGUGAUUAUCCCCAG
rnacentral:lncRNA from 1 species